ACUACGAGGGUUGAGGGAAGCGCCGAGCGACGUUGUUGCCCUCCCCCAAUUCCCACCGUCGCAUCUUACCCACGUCGCUGCCUGAAAUUUGUCACUGCCUUCCCCCAGUUCCUCGACUAAUCAACCCGCGAUUCCCUUCGGCCUUUGCUCGAGUCCGAGCUCCGGUGGCGGCGAUCCAACAAUCUCGACGACGUACCUUUGAAAGAACAUGUGAAAUAGGACGAGACUUUUACCUACAAGAAGGUUGAAGACAUUGCUGUAAGUAUUUUUAUAAUUAAAACAAACAAACACACACACACACACACACACACACACAUAUAUAUAUAUAUAUAUAUAUCAACAUUGUCUCUUGAAGCCGAAUUGGCUAGAAAAGAAACGAUGUUGGAGACCAAUAUGAAAGUGCAGUGUGCUAAGGAGAUGCUCCAGAAUCCCAGUGACACUCAAGUAAAAAAGCCACACGGGAGGUCCCCGAAACAUCAAAAUGAACAUGUUGCGCGAAAUAAUGUUCUUCCUCCGGAGGGCAGCAUUAAAGCUCGGCUACGUGGUACGGUGGAAACGCUGAAGAAUAAUAAGUCUGUCGAUUUAAUUCAUUCCUGAAUGAAUGAGGCCAUUGAGGUUGGGAAUACAUCUAGGGAUUUCGUUAUACAGCCCAAGACUACAGCCAGUGCAAGGGUGAUGAGCAGUGUUGUAGCGCGUAGCUGGGCAGAGGAAGUGGAGAAGGGUGAUAGUGAGGAAGAUUGCUGAGCAGCAAUGAUGGAGUGCCGGUUUGAGUCAAAUAUAUGUGGAUGAGGUGAUGGGAGGCCGCCUUGAUAACAAGCAUAGGAUGUUUGGAACAGGUACCUGAUCACUAAUUUCUUAGCAACAAAAAUACCGCAACUAAAAUGGUGUAAUUGUAGCAAAUAAUCAGUAGCCAAGUAUCAUAUCCACCUGGACUGAUAAACAAAAUUGCUCUAAGUAAUCCUAUCAAGGACUCCAACAAUAUUCAUGCAAUUCCCAAGAUCAAUGAAUUAACUAAAAGUAAACUUUAGAACAAAGCAAACAAAAUGUAGGUAGAUCAUCAUAAGCAUCUCACUAAAAAUCUAAUGGAGCAAUAAUCAUCUCAAAAACAAUCACACACCACCAACCAAGCAGGAUAAAAUAAUAAAGCCAACAAUAAUAAUAAAAGUAAUACACAUAUCUAAUCUCACCCCCCUCCCUCGAACUUAUUACAGAACAUAAGUUCGAAAAUAAGUUUGGAGGGAUGGUGAUAUGUGUGUCACUACUUACAGAAAAAUAUGCUCCACGGUGGUGAUGAUAUGGACGAAGCUCAAAAUCAACAUUUUCCAAGCUCAGCUGCAAUCUCCCCAAAACAAACAAAACAAAGACAACAAAAAGAACCAAAGAAAAAGGAAAAUGAAAAUAAAAACAAGAAAACAGUUAGGUUACCUCCCAACAAGUGCUUAAUUUAACGUUGAGCUUGACGAUACCUCAUGGCUCAUCCUAUCCCCACACGGUGGAAAACAAAAAGAGGCAUCAAAAGAAGAUAAACCUCUAAAUCCCAUAACACCUCUAAAAAUAUAAGCCAACCAAUCACACAAGCAACGAUAAAGCUAUCAUGAUCAUUCUGCUUCAAAGAUAUCUCCAUGAACUUGGUCAUUCUUUCAUCAGUACGUAGCUUGGCCAAGCAGCAAGCUUGUAGUCAGACCUGGGAAGAGCAGGAAUAGAAACAUGCUCUAUAGCAGCAGAAAUAUGAGGGAUGCUAAAAUCCUCCUUUGUAGUAGAGGACUCAUCAACUGCUAUUUUCUCAAUAUCCUCAUCUUUCUCCUCGGCAUCCUGCAGCUUUGAAUAAGAUUGAUGUUGUACACGUCUGUCCGAUUCUUCGAGCAAUCUUUCCAGAUCUUCCACUAUACACCUAUACUCUGAGGGACACAUCAGUCAAACAUCAGGAGCCAUGAAAUAAAAUAAAUAAAUAAAUAAAUAAAAGCUUGAAAUAAUGCCUAAGUCCUAUCAGAAAUAUUAAAGUAAAUUCUAAACAGUCCCCGACAACGGCGCCAAAAAGUUUAUCACUAAUUUCUUAGCCACAAAAAUACCGCAACUAACACGGUGCAAUUGUAGCAAAUAAUCAGUAACCGAGUAUCGUAUCCACAGGGAUUGAUAAAUGAAAUUACUCUGAGUAAUCCCAUCAAGGACUCUAACAAUAUUCACGCAACUCCCAAGAUCAAUGAAUUAAUUAAAACUAACCUUUGGAACAAAGCAAACAAAAUGUAGGUAGAAAAUCAAAUAAUAAAACGACUGACCCUAGGGAAGUAAAUUCAUUAACCAAAUUCACAUAAUCAAUCUAUUAAUCAUAUUUACCAGUUUUAAUCCUGCUAUGAUGAGAGAUCACUAAUUUAAUCAAUUACUCUCGCUAGAGCAGCAAUGACAGUAGAUUAGUAAAUUAGUAAAUUAUCUAUCUCCGUUAGGUCUCAAAAAAAUCUACUAACUCCCAAAAGCUCCUAGGAAUAGCUCCCUAUGAUCCACCCAUCUCCGCUAGGUCUCAAGGUUAAGAUCAUAUCAUACAUUCCUGAAUCCGCUAAACAGUUAUCUCCGCAAGGUCUCAAACCGAAUAGCUACACAUGCAAACUAUUGAUCAGAUAAUUCACACGAAUUCAAGCACCAGGAAUUGUGAAUCAUAAACUGAAAGACAAAAAGGUAUUAACAAAUUAAUUACAUAAAUCUAAUUAACUAUUUACAAAUCCUAGAAUCAGAUAAAAAACCUAGCUAGACAUCAGAAAAUAAAUCAAAAGCGUAAUAAAUAAGAAAGCAAUAAAAAUAAAUGAAACUGAUAAAACCCGAAAAGAAAUUCUGAAGUAACAGCUUGAAUCUUGCAAGAAAAUAAAUCUAAUCUAUGAAAGCAAUAAAAUUCUAAGUCUAAAACUGAAAAAAAUGAAAAGAGGUGAAAAAGAUGUCUAAUAGGUCAGGAAAGGAAUCUAUAUAUAGGCACAGGGGAAAAAUACAGAGUUUGAGCUCGAAAAUAACAUAGAAAACGCAUAAAAAAUCAAAUUUUCAGACCCGCGGCGACCGCCGCGUUCUAGGCCAAAAACAGGCACUUUCCGACGACCUUCCCGGCGGUCGACGGCUGGGUCGCCUCCAUCGCCGAGUUUCCGGCGAUCGCCGGCGUUGGUGCAAAAAUCCUUCUUCACCCGGCGCUCGCUGCCGGGUCGCCACUACUACACGCGACUUUCUUAUUUCGGUCAUAUCUUUUUCGUCCAAACUCUGAUUUGAGAUCCGUUUGCGCUCACGAACUCCUCUGGAGACGAUCUAAAACUUCUAUUUCAAACUGUUUUUCCAAACUCGAACUCAAUAAUUCUGUAAAUUCCUUCAAAAUUCGAGCAAGAAUCAUGUUUCACAAGAUAAAGCAAUAUAAGCACAAAACAAUCAUCCAACACUUAAUUUCCUAUAAAAUUAACAUCAUAAGAAUAUUAAAAACCAUGGAAAAGUGAGUGUUAUCAAUACCCUUGUACGGGUCUUGUGGCUGGUACUUGAGGGGGGCCAGCUCACACACAUCUCAUCUGCAUUCACAACAUGUUGAUACUCGCUUGGAGAGAUACAACAGCAAUAACUUCAGGAAGAGCACGAGCAUAGAUUCUAAUUGGAGGAGUCAUUCUAGGUGGGAGAUGUUCCAGCAGUUCAUAAGGUCCACAUAGUUGAAGAGCAACGGCUCAGGAGGUUCCGACUUACUACCUUUAGGCAAUAACCUCAGCUUUGAUG